GUGUCACUGACCAGAGCAGCUUGAUUCAUUUCCCUCUCUGGGCACCAGGACAUGACUUUCCAAGUCCCAGAAAGCCUGCGUUUGCAGAGUCCCCUGGUUCCAUCUAGAAACCUGGUAAUCAAGUCUCCUUAUGAUGGAAAAGCAUUGGGAGGAAGUGGAACCAAAGCAGAUCCUAUCCAAGGUUCACUUCAAGGCUGAAUUGUUCAUAUGGUGCAACAAAUGUGGCUGAAGGUCCAGGUUGGGUUUUGCUGUCUACAUGUUGAGUGGCCCAGAUCAGAUGCUUCCUGUCAUUAUGCAUCCAUGACUUCCUGGCUCUACACACCCAUUUGUACUCUAGGGCAAGGCAUCCAUUUCCCCAUCUAUUC